GCUUAUCACCAUUCCAGAUUGAAUAUACCCGAUCUCGUCUGAUCUCGGAAGUCAAGCAAUCUCGGGCUUGGUUAGUACUUGGAUGGGUGACCGCUUGGGAAU
rnacentral:rRNA from 1 species